UCAGAACGAACGCUGGCGGCAGGCUUAACACAUGCAAGUCGAGCGCCCCGCAAGGGGAGCGGCAGACGGGUGAGUAACGCGUGGGAAUCUACCCUUGACUACGGAAUAACGCAGGGAAACUUGUGCUAAUACCGUAUGUGUCCUUCGGGAGAAAGAUUUAUCGGUCAAGGAUGAGCCCGCGUUGGAUUAGCUAGUUGGUGGGGUAAAGGCCUACCAAGGCGACGAUCCAUAGCUGGUCUGAGAGGAUGAUCAGCCACAUUGGGACUGAGACACGGCCCAAACUCCUACGGGAGGCAGCWGUGGGGAAUAUUGGACAAUGGGCGCAAGCCUGAUCCAGCCAUGCCGCGUGAGUGAUGAAGGCCCUAGGGUUGUAAAGCUCUUUCACCGGAGAAGAUAAUG
rnacentral:rRNA from 1 species